UCCGUAGGCGGUGUGGCAAGUCGGAAGUGAAAUCUCUGGGCUUAACCCAGAGGCUGCUUCCGAAACUGCCGUGCUAGAGUGUGAGAGAGGCGAGUGGAAUUGCGGGUGUAGCGGUGAAAUGCGUAGAUAUCCGCAGGAACAUCCGAGGCGGAAGCGGCUCGCUGGAUCACAACUGACGCUGAGGGACGAAAGCUAGGGGAGCAAACAGGAUUAGAUACCCUGGUAGUCCUAGCCCUAAACCAUCAGGACUUGGGGUUUGCCCUGUACGGGGCAAGUCCCGUAGCUAACGCGUUAAGUCCUGCGCCUGGGGAGUACGGUCGCAAGGCUGAA
rnacentral:rRNA from 1 species